rnacentral:tRNA from 1 species
AGGGCCUUAGCUUAAUUAAAGUGUUUGAGUUGCAUUCAGAAAAUGUGGGAUAAAGUCCCGCAGGUCUUA